rnacentral:rRNA from 1 species
GACGAACGCUGGCGGCGUGCCUAAUACAUGCAAGUCGAGCGAACCAAUAAGAAGCUUGCUUUUUGUUGGUUAGCGGCGGACGGGUGAGUAACACGUGGGUAACCUGCCUGUAAGACCGGGAUAACUCCGGGAAACCGGUGCUAAUACCGGAUAGAUUAUCUUUCCGCAUGGAGAGAUAAGGAAAGAUGGCUAUUGCCAUCACUUACAGAUGGGCCCGCGGCGCAUUAGCUAGUUGGUGAGGUAACGGCUCACCAAGGCGACGAUGCGUAGCCGACCUGAGAGGGUGAUCGGCCACACUGGGACUGAGACACGGCCCAGACUCCUACGAGAGGCAGCAGUAGGGAAUCUUCCGCAAUGGACGAAAGUCUGACGGAGCAACGCCGCGUGAGCGAAGAAGGUCUUCGGAUCGUAAAGCUCUGUUGUUAGGGAAGAACAAGUAUCGGAGGAAAUGCCGGUACCUUGACGGUACCUGACGAGAAAGCCACGGCUAACUACGUG